rnacentral:RNase_P_RNA from 1 species
AGUAGAACAGAUGAUCGCGGCUGGAUUUAUUUCAGGUGAGGAAAGUCCGGGCUUCAUAGGGCAGGAUGCCGGAUAACGUCCGGUGGAGGUGACUCCAAGGCCAGUGCAACAGAAAGUAAACCGCUGAGUUAAUCAGUAAGGGUGAAAGGGCGGUGUAAGAGACCACCGCUGUUAUGGUAACAUAACAGGCAUUGUAAACCCCAUCCGAAGCAAGACCAAAUAGAAAACGAUUGGCUGCCCGUCAGGUUUUCGGGUUGGUUGCUUGAUUCUACUGGUAACAGUAGAACUAGAUAGAUGAUCAUCUAAUACAUAACCCGGCUUAUAGUUCUGCUCGA